AUUGAACGCUGGCGGCAGGCCUAACACAUGCAAGUCGAACGAGUGGCGGACGGGUGAGUAAUGUCUGGGAAACUGCCCGAUGGUGGGGGAUAACUACUGGAAACGGUAGCUAAUACCGCAUACCAUCGGAUGUUCCCAGAUGGGCUUAGCUAGUAGGUGGGGUAACGGCUCACCUAGGCGACGAUCCCUAGCUGGUCUGAGAGGAUGACCAGCCACACUGGAAAUGAGACACGGUCCAGACUCCGAAGGGAGGCAGGAGUGGGGAAUAUUGCGGAAUGGGCGCAAGCCUGAUGAAGCCAUGCCGCGUGUAUGAAGAAGGCGUUCGGGUUGUAAAGGACUUUAAGCGAGGAGGCGUUACUCGCAGAAGAAGCACCGGCUAACUCCGUGCCAGCAGCCGCGGUAAUUC
rnacentral:rRNA from 1 species